GAGAUUUUUUCCCCCAAUUUUCAUGCAAAAUUUCUACAAUUUCUCUCUCCUCCUUCAUUUGCACGUUAUUUUCUUCCUUCUCUACCUUAUCUCUCCUACUUUCUCUAUCCUAAUUUCUGCCAAUUUCAUGCUACUUCUUCAAAUCCAGCUUCAAUUACUUUGAUUUUCAGCAAUUUCUUAGCUCUACGAUCUACUAUCAAGUGAGAGCACUGCAUUACUUGCAUUCCAAUCGAAUUAUUCACAGGGACAUGAAGCCGCAAAAUAUUCUUAUUGGUUCAGGCUCCAUUGUUUAGGUUAGCUUUGUGAUUUAGGAUUUUCUCGUGCCAUGUCAAUGAACACUGUUGUACUUCGCUCCAUCAAAGGUACUCCAUUGUACAUGGCUCCUGAGCUUGUUCGCGAACAGCCAUACAAUCACAUAGCAGACUUGUUGUCAAAAUUGAUAUAAUUACCUUAUUUUUACAUAUUGUAACCUAUUCGUUAUUUUUAUAUAUAGUGGUCUCUGUAU